rnacentral:lncRNA from 1 species
CGGAGCUGCCGGUUUCUAUUCACGUCUCACUGUUGCCCGCAGUGUGAGCACAGCAGAUUGCACUAGGCCAGAGGUCUUGCUGCACAAGCUGGACGAGGAUCCUGCAAGAAACGCAGCGCUGAGUUCUGCCCUUCCAGUCGCACCCGCUGAGCCGCAUCCUGCAAGGAGCAAGUGGGAUGGGGAAGCAAGGGGCUGUGAGUGCAGUGGCAUCUCUCAGAAGAUGAGUGCUGUCUCUGCUUCGCAAUGCCAUCGGAUGAAGGCUCUGUGGAUGCUUUUCUGAAGGUGCUGUUUCACCCAAAUCAGUAACAAGAGCAGUUCAAGGACACCUUGAUCCAGCCACGUUUACGGUGUGUACUUUAACACCAUUAAUAUGUUGCUGUUGCUUGAUACAGACUGUGACUUGAACACUGAGAAGGCUGGGCUGUGCUUUGCAAUACUUGAGUUACAAUUUUGUCUAUGGAAGAAAGUGAAUAGCAGUUUCUGAGAUGAGACUGGGUAGUCCUACCUAGAUAGAUUUGUUUGGAGACAUACAGGUGCAACACGAGCGUGCAGUAUCUUACAGUGAAGUUGGCUAUGAUGGUUUCGUUUUUAGCUGCAAAUAUACUGCUCCAAAUUGACAUGAUCCACACAAAAUAUAAUUCAGACUGCGGCCACCCACCAUUGUGCAGUGCUGUGAGGAAAAUUAGACUUUGACAUAAGGCUGAGGAAUCGUGCAUGGACUGAGUUGGAGUGAAGAGAUCUAAGCAAGUUCUCCUCCUGGGACGCUUGGGUGUGAUUAAUGAGCUCAUUACUGCCUGUGAUGAAGAGCUGUCCAGGAAUAGGGAUGUGCAGGAUAUUCCUGGUAUGCAGGAACUGACUAUAAGGCCGGUAGUGACUUAGAUAGAAGGGGGCAGAAGAAGAGAGGAAACUAGAAAUAGACGAGACGGUUUCUAUAAUGAGCGUGGAAGACUCAUCCCAGACUCAUUCCCCACACUUCUGUUCUCCUGUUGUAUACAGCAAGCAGCAAAUCUGCACCUAACAUUGCACUGCUGUGUACCGUUGUGUUUCUGAGUUGUCCUAAGUUCUUUGUGCAGAAGGAUGCAGACCCUGGCUAUGAUUUUAUCUGGUCUAUCUGGUGAACCUGUCCUCGUCUUGUCAGGAGAAAAAGGAAAAAGCUCUGUUAGGUGAGUAGAGAUCCUGCAGGGAAGGACUAGGACGCAAGACAUCUGGCUGCAUUUGGAGCAUUGCUCUGAAAAUCAUUCUUAUUUCCCCGGACAAAUCUCAUCCCUCAUCUCUGCCUC